UGGGGAAUUUUGGACAAUGGACGCAAGUCUGAUCCAGCCAUGCCGCGUGCGGGAAGAAGGCCUUCGGGUUGUAAACCGCUUUUGUCAGGGAAGAAACGAGUUUCUCUAAUACAGAGACUUAAUGACGGUACCUGAGGAAUAAGCACCGGCUAACUCCGUGCCAGCAGCCGCGGUAAUACGGAGGGUGCAAGCGUUAUCCGGAUUUACUGGGUUUAAAGGGUGUGUAGGCGGGCAUUUAAGUCUGGGGUGAAAUCUCCGAGCUCAACCUGGGACCUGCAUUUGUGACUGUAUAGCUAGAGUACGGUAGAGGGGGAUGGAAUUCCGCGUGUAGCAGUGAAAUGCGUAGAUAUGCGGAGGAACACCGAUGGCGAAGGCAAUCCCCUGGACCUGUACUGACGCUCAUGCACGAAAGCGUGGGGAGCAAACA
rnacentral:rRNA from 1 species